rnacentral:rRNA from 1 species
GAUGAACGCUGGCGGCGUGCCUAAUACAUGCAAGUCGAGCGAACAGACGAGGAGCUUGCUCCUCUGACGUUAGCGGCGGACGGGUGAGUAACACGUGGAUAGCCUACCUAUAAGACUGGGAUAACUUCGGGAAACCGGAGCUAAUACCGGAUAAUAUAUUGAACCGCAUGGUUCAAUAGUGAAAGACGGUUUUGCUGUCACUUAUAGAUGGAUCCGCGCCGCAUUAGCUAGUUGGUAAGGUAACGGCUUACCAAGGCAACGAUGCGUAGCCGACCUGAGAGGGUGAUCGGCCACACUGGAACUGAGACACGGUCCAGACUCCUACGGGAGGCAGCAGUAGGGAAUCUUCCGCAAUGGGCGAAAGCCUGACGGAGCAACGCCGCGUGAGUGAUGAAGGUCUUCGGAUCGUAAAACUCUGUUAUUAGGGAAGAACAAAUGUGUAAGUAACGAUGCACGUCUUGACGGUACCUAAUCAGAAAGCCACGGCUAACUACGU